rnacentral:lncRNA from 1 species
GUGAACUUCCGUAGCGCCAAACUUAAGCAAUUUUGUUUUAAUCAUUUGUAAAUAUGGAAGUGACACCGUACGGGAGCACAUGUAAUUUAAAAUGAUACAUAUUGCAUUAAUUAACUUUGAUAGAGCUCAUUACAGCAGUACAGGGCGGGUCUUUCUAGAGUUUAGAAAGUCUAGAGUCUAGGAUAGUAAACGUAGCUGACUGGAGGUGUUUGUGCUUUGGGCACACAGGAAAGUCUGCCUUCAUCUGCAGCCGAGACCAGUGUUUUUCUAGCAGAUAAUAUAUACGUGCUGACAUGAUGGCCCAGGAGAAGCACGCAAAACUGAAACUGAAGAGAAAGAAAUGCCCUCCACAGGAGUCGAAAGCGGCACAUUCCGCUAGCAACCCGGACUUUGAAGGCUCGCCGAAAAGUUGCAACGAAGAACUGAAAACAUCCCGUCCAGACCGCGCACCGGCACCAAUGGACAUGUGGUGGUGGAACAAACCCGACCUCAGUGUGACUGAGAGUUUGUGGGCGGUCCUGUUGAAGUCUGCCUUCCCAGACCGCAGCCAGGGAGACUGGAUACAUGUGCCCGACCUCCCCUCGCUUGUGUCACAGCCGAGAUUUUCAGAACAAGGGCAUCCUGGAUUGAAGACCUGUGCUAGCUGUGGUGAAGAACAGACCCGUUUUCCAUCGAUUUCCAAAGCAGCAUCCCUUAAUUCACUGAAUUCAGACGUGGAUUUCGAUUCUGAGCCCUAUCCUGGGACUCGGGACCAAAUCCUGAGGGAGAAAGAGAAGCUUGUGCACUGUGACAGACAGCCUCCCAGUGCGACUCAAGCUGAACACGCUGAAAAACCACCUUCAGCUGUGGACAAAGUUGCAGGGGACACCAGACUGAGACAUAACGAGGUGCCUGAAGCCGAACGCGACAGUGAAACGAGGCAGCAGCAACGCCUACGCGAGGCCUUGCCGUCGUCGGGGGCGACGGGAGACGGAACGCGGAGCGCGCUAACUGACGGGGCCGGCGCGGCGGUGGCUAGGCCUCGCUGCCGACGUGAGGAGACCUCCACCGCGAGGCCCCGCUCGUUAGAGAGAGCCCAGCGCGGGAACGAGGAAGAGGACGCGAUCAGAGGGAAGCUACCUGCUCACGGGGGGGGAGACUCUGACAGCUGCAUCGCCACCGAAGAGACGCGUUCGGCGAAACCCCCUCCGGAGGAGGAGCGUCGCCAGGCAGGUUGGCAGAAGGAGCAUACGGCUGCUAAUAACAGGAAAGCUGAUGGGAAUUCAGAUGGAGGUGCAGCUAUAGAGAGCUGCCCCAUGUGUCGCACACAGUUUCCUGCUGGAUUCACCCAACUGGACUGCGACAGUCACCUCGCCAAGUGCUUGUCGGAGAUGAACGAGGACAUUGUCUGGUAG